rnacentral:rRNA from 1 species
AUUGAACGCUGGCGGCAGGCUUAACACAUGCAAGUCGAACGAGUGGCGGACGGGUGAGUAAUGCUUGGGAAUCUGGCUUAUGGAGGGGGAUAACGACGGGACACUGUCGCUAAUACCGCGUACCCUCGGAUGAGCCCAAGUGGGAUUAGGUCGUUGGUGGGGGAAUGGCCUACCAAGCCGACGACCUCUAGCUGGUCUGAGAGGAUGACCGGCGAACCCGAGACUGAGACACGGCCCGGACCCUUACGGGAGGCAGCAGGGGGGAAUAUGGCGAAAGGGGGGAAACCUGAGGAAGCAAUGCCGGGUGAAGGAAGAAGGCUUUCGGGUUGUAAAGUUCUUUCGGUGACGAGGCAGGAAUGACAGAAGAAGCACCGGCUAACUCCGUGCCAGCAGCAGCGUAAUAC